rnacentral:rRNA from 1 species
UACGGAGGGAGCUAGCGUUGUUCGGAUAUACUGGGCGUAAAGCGCACGUAGGCGGCGCAGCAAGUCAGGGGUGAAAUCCCGGAGCUCAACUCCGGAACUGCCUUUGAAACUGCAGUGCUAGAAUCCUGGAGAGGCGAGUGGAAUUCCGAGUGUAGAGGUGAAAUUCGUAGAUAUUCGGAAGAACACCAGUGGCGAAGGCGACUCGCUGGACAGGUAUUAGACGCUGAGGUGGCGAAA